GCAAAGGUUCUGAGAUGGAUGUUGGAGUGUCACAUCUAGUGAACAGUGAGAAGAUCGUGUGAACCUCCUGUAACAUAUUGCAACACCAAGACAAUAUGUCUUUGCUUUGGAUAUUAUACAGAAUCUCCCAUAUCUGUGACAUUUUCUAAGUCCUUCAAGUUAUAUAUUCUUUAAGAAUCCUGUCUCUUAAGCAUCAUUUGGAUGAACAAUAAAGAAGUUGCAAUGUUUACUGUAA
rnacentral:lncRNA from 1 species